rnacentral:rRNA from 2 species
UACCCAUCCCGAACACGACCGUUAAGCCCUCCAGCGCCGAUGGUACUUGGACCGAAGGGUCCUGGGAGAGUAGGACGUUGCCAAGC